UUGGCAAGCAUAUGGGGUGUCCCAGUCAGAUAAGACAGUCUGAGAGGGCGCCCCUUGUAACAGAGGGUAAGUAGAUGGGGUGCCAACACAUGGCGCCCCCUUAGGGUUUUCAUGCACAAGAGAGAAGGCAUAGCCCCUCUCUCUCUCCUUCUACACCAAUGCAAGAGAGAGGGUGGGCCCCUCUCUCUUCCUCAUGCCAAUCAAGAGAUGGCACCUAAGAAAAUUUUCAAAAGAGAUGC
rnacentral:lncRNA from 1 species